GACGAACGCUGGCGGCGUGCCUAACACAUGCAAGUCGAACGGAAUUGAGGGGCUUGCUCUUCAAUUUAGUGGCGCACGGGUGAGUAACGCGUGGAUAAUCUGCCUGACGAUCUGGGAUAACAUCUCGAAAGGGGUGCUAAUACCGGAUAAGCCCACGGGAACUUCGGUUUUUGCGGGAAAAGGGGGGGACCUUUUGGCCUUCUGUCGUCAGAUGAGUCCGCGUACCAUUAGCUAGUUGGUAGGGUAAAGGCCUACCAAGGCUACGAUGGUUAGCUGGUUUGAGAGAAUGAUCAGCCACACUGGAACUGAGACACGGUCCAGACUCCUACGGGAGGCAGCAGUGGGGAAUUUUGCGCAAUGGGCGAAAGCCUGACGCAGCAACGCCGCGUGAGUGAUGAAGGCUUUCGGGUCGUAAAGCUCUGUCAGAGGGAAAGAAGUGUAUUGUGGCUAAUAUCCGCGAUACUUGACGGUACCCUCAAAGGAAGCACCGGCUAACUCCGUGCCAGCCGCCGCGGUAAUAC
rnacentral:rRNA from 1 species